UCUUUAGAUGAUGAGGAGAUGGUGUCCUAUAUUCUUAAUGGUCUAGAUCCUGAAUUCAAUCCCCUAGUUUCUGCUAUUGUAACUAGGGUAGAACCCAUCUCAAUGUCUGAAUUGUACUCCCAGCUUUUAAGCUUUGAAA